rnacentral:rRNA from 1 species
ACUCCUACGGAGGCACAGUGGGGAAUUCCGCAAUGGGCGAAAGCCUGACGGAGCAAGACCGCGUGAGGGAGGAAGGCUCUUGGGUUGUAAACCUCUUUUCUCAGGGAAGAAGCUCUGACGGUACCUGAGGAAUCAGCCUCGGCUAACUCCGUGCCAGCAGCCGCGGUAAUACGGAGGAGGCAAGCGUUAUCCGGAAUUAUUGGGCGUAAAGCGUCCGCAGGUGGCGAUUCAAGUCUGCUGUCAAAGCACGGGGCUUAACUCCGUUAAGGCAGUGGAAACUGAAUAGCUAGAGUGCCGUAGGGGUAGAGGGAAUUCCCGGUGUAGCGGUGAAAUGCGUAGAGAUCGGGAAGAACAUCGGUGGCGAAAGCGCUCUACUGGACGGCAACUGACACUCAGGGACGAAAGCUAGGGGAGCGAAUGGGAUUAGAUACCCCAGUAGUCCUAGCUGUGAACGAUGGAUACUAGGUGUAGCUUGUAUCGACCCGAGCUGUGCCGAAGCUAACGCGUUAAGUAUCCCGNCUGGGGAGUACGCACGCAAGUGUGAAACU